rnacentral:rRNA from 1 species
AUUGAACGCUGGCGGCAGGCUUAACACAUGCAAGUCGAGCGGAGAUGAGGUGCUUGCACCUUAUCUUAGCGGCGGACGGGUGAGUAAUGCUUAGGAAUCUGCCUAUUAGUGGGGGACAACAUUCCGAAAGGGAUGCUAAUACCGCAUACGCCCUACGGGGGAAAGCAGGGGAUCUUCGGACCUUGCGCUAAUAGAUGAGCCUAAGUCGGAUUAGCUAGUUGGUGGGGUAAAGGCCUACCAAGGCGACGAUCUGUAGCGGGUCUGAGAGGAUGAUCCGCCACACUGGGACUGAGACACGGCCCAGACUCCUACGGGAGGCAGCAGUGGGGAAUAUUGGACAAUGGGGGGAACCCUGAUCCAGCCAUGCCGCGUGUGUGAAGAAGGCCUUUUGGUUGUAAAGCACUUUAAGCGAGGAGGAGGCGCUCUAGGAUAAUACCCUAGAUGCGUGGACGUUACUCGCAGAAUAAGCACCGGCUAACUCUGUGCCAGCCGCCGCAGUAACAC